rnacentral:rRNA from 1 species
UACGGGGGGGGCAAGCGUUGUUCGGAAUUACUGGGCGUAAAGGGCUCGUAGGCGGCCAACUAAGUCAGACGUGAAAUCCCUCGGCUUAACCGGGGAACUGCGUCUGAUACUGGGUGGCUUGAGUCCGGGAGAGGGAUGCGGAAUUCCAGGUGUAGCGGUGAAAUGCGUAGAUAUCUGGAGGAACACCGGUGGCGAAGGCGGCAUCCUGGACCGGUAUUGACGCUGAGGUGCGAAAGCGUGGGGAGCAAACGGG